CAGAGAGAAAUCAGAAGAGAUGAAAUGACCAAUGUCAUCCAGAAGCAAAGAGCACAGGAGAGCAGAGUGUAAUGUGAAGAUGUAAUGGAAGAUGUAAUAGAAAAGGUUUUCAAUCUUGUUCCAUCAACACUGCUAAGCCUACACGUGACUGUGACAGUGAUAUGAUGGUAUCAUGGCAGUGCCCUGUCUCCAUACUUCAUGAGCUUGUGGAAGACGUGGCAGUAUUCCAUGGACAGGUGUUGUAUUACAGAAGUUUAUCCAUCCGGUUGGAUACGCAGAUGUACAAAUGGGCGAAAGAGACAGCAAGGGAGGAAUACUGCUCCAAUUAAUAUCUUGAAACAGUGUCUUGGUCUCUGUAAGUUGUCAUCAUGUGCACCAUCUGUAGGGCAGAUGGGCAGGGUUGGUUUAUUUGGAAAAGAGUAUUUUUUCAGAAAUGGAUGUGUGAAAGAACCGUAUAAAUUCAGGUUAAGGGCCUAAGAGGGGUGUUUAAACUUAAAGCUUAAUAGCUAAGACAUAAGGGCUGCAUGAAGAAAUAUUUGCAAUACUUCCUCUGUCCUUGUCCUUUGCCUUGCUUUGUCCUUUGUAACACUUUUUCGUAGAAUUGUUUAAUAUCUUAGUUUAUGCAAGCAGGGGCCCUGAAACAGUGGUUUCGGAGUAAGAAGGACGCGACCUAACCCUGAUAAUUCCAGGGAAAAGGAAACUUAGGAGCAUACUGACCUAAUGGG
rnacentral:lncRNA from 1 species